rnacentral:rRNA from 1 species
GAUGAACGCUAGCUACAGGCUUAACACAUGCCAGUCGAGGGACGGGCGCACGGGUGAGUGACAAGUAUCUAACCUACCCUUUACUCGGGGAUAGCCUUUCGAAAGAAAGAUUAAUACCCGAUAUAAGGGAUGGGGAUGCGUUCCAUUAGGUUGGUGGUGAGGUACCGGCUGACCAAGCCUUCGAUGGCUAGGGGUUCGGAGAGGAAGGUCCCCCACAUUGGAACUGAGACCCGGUCCAAACUCCUACGGGAGGCAGCAGUGAGUAAUAGUUGUCAAUGGGCGGUAGCCUGAACCAGCCCAGUAGCGGGAAGGAUGAAGGCUUAUGGGUCGCAAAUUUCUUUUAUAUACGAAUAUGUAUUAUAUGAAUAAGGAUCGGCUAACUCCGUGCCAGCAGCCGCGGUAAUUC